rnacentral:rRNA from 1 species
CAAACCCAAAAGCUGGCGACCGGCGCACGGGUGAGUAACACGUAUCCAACCUGCCUCAUACUCGGGGAUAGCCUUUCGAAAGAAAGAUUAAUAUCCGAUAGCAUAUAUUUCCCGCAUGGGUUUUAUAUUAAAGAAAUUCGGUAUGAGAUGGGGAUGCGUUCCAUUAGUUUGUUGGGGGGGUAACGGCCCACCAAGACUACGAUGGAUAGGGGUUCUGAGAGGAAGGUCCCCCACAUUGGAACUGAGACACGGUCCAA